UACGUAGGUGGCAAGCGUUGUCCGGAAUUACUGGGCGUAAAGGGCGCGCAGGCGGUAAUUUAAGUCGGAUGUGAAAUCUAGAGGCUUAACCUCUAGUUUGCAUACGAAACUGGAUUACUUGAGUGCAGGAGAGGGCAGUGGAAUUCCUAGUGUAGCGGUGAAAUGCGUAGAUAUUAGGAGGAACACCAGUGGCGAAGGCGGCUGCCUGGACUGUAACUGACGCUGAGGCGCGAAAGCGUGGGGAGCGAAC
rnacentral:rRNA from 1 species